rnacentral:tRNA from 1 species
AGUCCAAUGGCAGAGCACCUGUCUUGUCUACAGGAGAUGUGGGUUCAAAUCCCAU